rnacentral:rRNA from 1 species
CGGGACGGGUGAGUAACGCGUGGGUAACCUGCCUCAUACAGGGGGAUAACGAUUGGAAACGAUUGCUAAUACCGCAUAAGCGCACAGUACCACAUGGUGCAGUGUGAAAAACUCCGGUGGUAUGAGAUGGACCCGCGUCUGAUUAGCUAGUUGGUAAGGUAACGGCUUACCAAGGCGACGAUCGGUAGCCGGACUGAGAGGUUGAACGGCCACAUUGGGACUGAGACACGGCCCAG